rnacentral:lncRNA from 10 species
CUUUGCUGGAGGUGGAAACCUGGCUGGAUGAAAAACUAGGUCAGAAAACAGCUGCCCUGAGAGCAAGAAUGGGAUAGUGAGUCUCUGCCCACACUCUGGUCUGUGGGCGAACCUGGAAGCUUGAGAGGGAGGCACUGAGGCAGCCGAGAAGAGACUGAGCCACACAUGACUUCAGCCCUACCUGUGAUGAUGAAUUCAGAUCUAACACUCUAUCACCAGACUGAGAUCCUGGAAGGUGAGAGGAACUGUGCUUAUUCACAUCUACCUCAGCCACAGUGUUAGCAGGCCCACUACCUCUCUAGGACAGGCACCUGGGCCAGUUCUGGAGUAGACGUCCUAGGUUUGGGUGUUGCAAGAGUCUGGAAAUCCCCACAUUGGAAAGGACCACACUCCCUUCACCCUCAGGGCCUGUUUGCUCUCGCCUGGUAGAGUUUCCAGGGCAGGAGAUGCUCCCAGCUUGGCAGAGUCUGAGAGUCAGGACCCUUCAAGGAUGGAGCCAGC